rnacentral:rRNA from 4 species
AUAUUGGUCAAUAGCCUAACGGCUGAACCAGCAACUUGGAGGAAUGUAUAGCAAUAGCUACUUGCAUCAUUGUAAUGAUGAUGCAAGAUCGACUAUGUCGAAUAAAAUUCUAGGUAGAAUUAUGAUAAUGACAUUGUCUGCCUAUGUGUCUUGACCAAAUUACGUGCCAGCAGUCGCGGUAAUACGUAGAAGACUAGUGUUAUUCAUGUUUAAUCGGUUUAAAGGGUACCUAGACAGCAAAUCAAGCUUUCAAAAAGAAGGACUAAUUUGCUAGAGUUACUUAUGAGGGGGCUUUAAAGUACUGAUGGUGUAGAGAUGAAAUUCUGUCAUACCUCUUUUCAAAAGAAAAAAUGAUGGCACUGGUAUAGGCGAAGGCAUCCCCUUAUGUGAUAACUGACGUUGAGGGACGAAGGCUUUUACAGCGAACAGGAUUAGAUACCCCAGUAGUCUAAGCAGAAAAUGAUGAAUGUCAUAGAUUAGAUGUAUAAGUUUAUUCUAUAAAUGAAAGUGUAAGCAUUCCACCUCAUGAGUAAUUUGGCAACAUUGGAACUGAAAUCAUUAGACCGUUUCUGAAACCAG